rnacentral:rRNA from 1 species
AGUGAACGCUGGCGGGAGGCCUAACACAUGCAAGUCGAACGGCAGCACAGUAAGAGCUUGCUCUUACGGGUGGCGAGUGGCGGACGGGUGAGGAAUACAUCGGAAUCUACUUUUUCGUGGGGGAUAACGUAGGGAAACUUACGCUAAUACCGCAUACGACCUACGGGUGAAAGAAGGGGAUCUUCGGACCUUGCGCGAUUGAAUGAGCCGAUGUCGGAUUAGCUAGUUGGCGGGGUAAAGGCCCACCAAGGCGACGAUCCGUAGCUGGUCUGAGAGGAUGAUCAGCCCCACUGGAACUGAGACACGGUCCAGACUCCUACGGGAGGCAGCAGUCGGGAAUAUUGGACAAUGGGCGCAAGCCUGAUCCAGCCAUACCGCGUGGGUGAAGAAGGCCUUCGGCUUGUAAAGCCCUUUUGUUGCGAAAGAAAAGCAGCAGGUUAACACCCCCCUGUUCUGCCGGUCCCCAAAGAAUAAGCACCGGCUACCUUCGUG